GAUGAACGCUGGCGGCGUGCCUAAUACAUGCAAGUCGAGCGAACGGACGAGAAGCUUGCCUCUCUGAUGUUAGCGGCGGACGGGUGAGUAACACGUGGAUAACCUACCUAUAAGACUGGGAUAACUUCGGGAAACCGGAGCUAAUACCGGAUGAUAUUUUGAACCGCAUGGUUCAAAAGUGAAAGACGGUCUUGCUGUCACUUAUAGAUGGAUCCGCGCUGCAUUAGCUAGUUGGUAAGGUAACGGCUUACCAAGGCAACGAUGCAUAGCCGACCUGAGAGGGUGAUCGGCCACACUGGAACUGAGACACGGUCCAGACUCCUACGGGAGGCAGCAGUAGCGAAUCUUCCGCAAUGGGCGAAAGCCUGACGGAGCAACGCCGCGUGAGUGAUGAAGGUCUUCGGAUCGUAAAACUCUGUUAUUAGGGAAGAACAUAUGUGUAAGUAACUGUGCACAUCUUGACGGUACCUAAUCAGAAAGCCACGGCUAACUACGUG
rnacentral:rRNA from 1 species